AUGGAUUUCUUCAGCGAAAGAUCCACGGAUUUGGACUACGUCGUCAAUUUGAUGCAUCGCGUAUGCUUCUUGCUCGACAUGGCGGAGAUUCAUCUCCAGGAGCUGAAGGCUGCGGACGAUCUUGUGAUGGAGCUGCUUUCGUUUCUUGGGAUGGCGGACGGGGAAGCCUUCGGCCCGCCUAUCGUGCAGAUCCCGCUUUGCCCUAAAGUGCGGGAAGACCUCCCCGGCGAGGGCGCCGCCGGGAACACCCGGCUCCUCAACAUUGCCAUGGAUAUGGCCAGCGAAGAGCUCUAUCGGGUGGGGAUACGGGCGGAUCGGGCGUUCGCUCCCAUCCUGGAGGGGCAGAGCGAGCCCUGGCGCAAGUGGAACGUGAGAAGGGCCACCAGGAAUGUCAAACGCGCCGUCAGGGUUCUCCAGUAUUGCAGUACCCGCAUUGAGGAGUUCAACAAAGAACUUGCGGCGUCGGUGGCCACCCAUCCAGUCGAGGCGGCCUUCAGCAAUCUGCCACCGACCUUCCCUCUUGUUCUGAGGCCACACCCGCUAGCAAUGCGGUGGAGCCAACAUCUUGCAGCGUGUAUCGGCGAUUGCAGGGAGUUGCCCAAGGAGAUAUUGUCCUGCGCUGAUCUUGCGCUGACAGCGAAGGUGGCAGAGUUUCUGAGCAAUUCGACAGGGACUUCGGGGCUGCCAGUUAUUGUUGAAGCCGGGGUCUCAGCCCGAGAUCUCCUAGCAUCCAUCCGGAGUCUGGAGGGCGAGGUUGGAUCCUUGCUCGCCGUUCUCAGGGAGGGAAUCACCCUCCUGGGCGGCAGGGACGCAUUUGAGGCGGCCCUGGCUGCGAAGACCGCCGCCAUCCACGAGGGCUGA
rnacentral:rRNA from 1 species